rnacentral:rRNA from 1 species
ACAUGCCUACAACUUAGUGUUAAUGCACCAGAUCCCAUUAGGACUCUACAUUUAAGCGCACUAGGGCUAGAGUAGUAUUGGGAUGGGUGACCACCCGGGAAGUCCCACUAUUUUACAUGCC